rnacentral:sRNA from 1 species
AUUCGAACCUGCAGCAGGUUCGGGUCGAACGUAGUGAGACAACGGAGCCGCUUGCGGCGACGGCCCGCAGGCGAGGCGAAGCCGAGUCAUCCUGCACGACCCACCA